AACGAACGCUGGCGGCAUGCCUAACACAUGCAAGUCGAACGAGAUCUUCGGGUCUAGUGGCGCACGGGUGCGUAACGCGUGGGAAUCUGCCCUUUGGUUCGGAAUAACAGUUGGAAACGACUGCUAAUAUCGGAUGAUGACGAAAGUCCAAAGAUUUAUCGCCAGAGGAUGAGCCCUCGGAGGAUUAGCUAGUUGGUGGGGUAAAGGCGCACCAAGGCGACGAUCCGUAGCUGGUCUGAGAGGAUGAUCAGCCACACUGGGACUGAGACACGGCCCAGACUCCUAGGGGAGGCAGAAGUGGGGAAUAUUGGACAAUGGGCGAAAGCCUGAUCCAGCAAUGCCGCGUGAGUGAUGAAGGCCUUAGGGUUGGAAAGCUCUUUUACCCGGGAUGAUAAUGACAGUACCGGGAGAAUAAGCUCCGGCUAACUCCGUGCCAGCCGCCGCCGUAA
rnacentral:rRNA from 1 species